GAAGGUGUAGCUCAAGUGGCAGAGCACAUGCUUAGCAUGCACAAGGUCCUGGGUUCAGUCCCCAGUACCUCCU
rnacentral:tRNA from 1 species